rnacentral:rRNA from 1 species
UACGAAGGGGGCUAGCGUUGUUCGGAAUUACUGGGCGUAAAGCGCACGUAGGCGGACUACUAAGUCAGGGGGUGAAAUCCCGGGGCUCAACCCCCGGAACUGCCUUUGAUACUGAUAGUCUCGAGUCCGGAAGAGGUGAGUGGAAUUCCGAGUGUAGAGGUGAAAUUCGUAGAUAUUCGGAGGAACACCAGUGGCGAAGGCGGCUCACUGGUCCGGUACUGACGCUGAGGUGCGAAAGCGUGGGGAGCAAACAGG